rnacentral:rRNA from 1 species
GACGAACCGUGCGAACGUUGUUCGGAAUCACUGGGCUUAAAGGGCGCGUAGGCGGGCUGACAAGUCUGGGGUGAAAUCCCUGGGCUCAACCCAGGAACUGCGUCCGAUACUGGUUGGCUUGAAUCCGGGAGAGGGAUGUGGAAUUCCAGGUGUAGCGGUGAAAUGCGUAGAUAUCUGGAGGAACACCGGUGGCGAAGGCGACAUCCUGGACCGGCAUUGACGCUGAGGCGCGG